GGCUCAGAUUGAACGCUGGCGGCAUGCCUUACACAUGCAAGUCGAACGGCAGCACGGGAGCUUGCUCCUGGUGGCGAGUGGCGAACGGGUGAGUAAUACAUCGGAACGUACCCUGAAGUGGGGGAUAACGUAGCGAAAGUUACGCUAAUACCGCAUAUUCUGUGAGCAGGAAAGAGGGGGAUCGCAAGACCUCUUGCUUUAGGAGCGGCCGAUGUCGGAUUAGCUAGUUGGUGAGGUAAAGGCUCACCAAGGCGACGAUCCGUAGCGGGUCUGAGAGGAUGAUCCGCCACACUGGGACUGAGACACGGCCCAGACUCCUACGGGAGGCAGCAGUGGGGAAUUUUGGACAAUGGGCGCAAGCCUGAUCCAGCCAUGCCGCGUGAGUGAAGAAGGCCUUCGGGUUGUAAAGCUCUUUCGGUGGGGAAGAAAUUGCACAGGAUAAUACCUUGUGUAGAUGACGGUACCCGCAUAAGAAGCACCGGCUAACUACGUG
rnacentral:rRNA from 1 species